AUUGAACGCUGGCGGCAUGCUUUACACAUGCAAGUCGAACGGCAGCACAGGGAGCUUGCUCCCGGGUGGCGAGUGGCGCACGGGUGAGUAAUACAUCGGAACGUGUCCUGUUGUGGGGGAUAACUGCUCGAAAGGGUGGCUAAUACCGCAUGAGACCUGAGGGUGAAAGCGGGGGAUCGCAAGACCUCGCGGCAAUUGGAGCGGCCGAUGCCCGAUUAGCUAGUUGGUGAGGUAAAGGCUCACCAAGGCGACGAUCGGUAGCUGGUCUGAGAGGACGACCAGCCACACUGGGACUGAGACACGGCCCAGACUCCUACGGGAGGCAGCAGUGGGAAUUUGGACAAUGGGGGGCAACCCUGAUCCAGCCAUGCCGCGUGCAGGAUGAAGGCC
rnacentral:rRNA from 1 species